rnacentral:rRNA from 1 species
UACGUAGGGUGCAAGCGUUGUCCGGAAUUAUUGGGCGUAAAGAGUUCGUAGGCGGUUUGUCGCGUCCGUUGUGAAAGCUUGGGGCUCAACCCCAAGUCUGCAGUGGAUACGGGCAGACUAGAGUCAGGUAGGGGAGAACGGAAUUCCUGGUGUAGCGGUGAAAUGCGCAGAUAUCAGGAAGAACACCCGUGGCUAAGGCGGUUCUCUAGUACGGUACUGACGCUGAGACGCGAAAGCGUGGGGAGCGAACAGG